rnacentral:lncRNA from 1 species
AUGGAGUUAACACCGUUCUGCUUGACGCUGUUUUGUCUUCGGAUGAACCCCGACAAGUCUCAGUUCUACAGGUACGACAACAUCAUUUUGACCUGCCAGGAUCACUGGAACACCACAGGCUGGACUGUGAGGAGGAAAACGCCCGAGGGUGGAGUCAGAACCUGCUCCUCCAGCUGGGGGUCCUUGUCCUCCAGCUCCAGCUGCAGCUGCACGGUCGGCAACAUCUACCCAACCGACAGCGGGGUGUACUGGUGUGAGUCUGCAGACGGGAAGACCAGCAAUGCCGUCAACAUCACCAUCACUGGUACUGCGCACAACACAUGAAGCAAGUACUGAUUAAACUUAAAGCUGCAUUUAAUUUAAUGUUUAAAAUAUAUCCAGUGGUUUGCCGUUCAUGUCUUGAACAGCGGUCUCUGAAUGUGAUUUGUCACAUAUUUCAGUGUUGAUAUGAUACAAAACAUACACAUUUGUUGCCUUCAGUGGUGGACAGUAACGGAGUAAAUUCACUUGAGUACUGUACUUAAGUACAUAUCCAGAGGAUUUGUACUUUACUUGAGUAUUAGAUUUCUUUGGUACUUAUUACUCUUACUUGAAUACAUUUCCAAGACAAAUUUUUUUACUUUUACUCGAGUUAAUUUCUAGGAAGGCUGAAAAGUACUCGUUACUUUCAGGUCUGCUCUCUUUUUUUUUUCUAAAAUACUAUUGGACACAAGCUGUGUUUGUCAAAGAAGGAAACCUAUCACAGUGCACGCUCUCCACUGGGAUCUACGUAAAAGCGGAAAUACGUCAUCCCUCCCCAUAAGGACACCACCAAAGUAGCCACGCACUCGACUGCGUUUGUCACACAAAACCGCGACAAUGGCUGCAUCAGAUGUAGUUUUUUGUAAAGCAGUGAUUCUCAGCCAGUGGUCUGGGGACAACAUUGGUCUCUGAGGGGGUUCCAGUUCCCAACUUAGCUAAAUGAUAGAGAGUUAGUUGGACGGUGCAGGUUCAUUUGGUUACAGUUUUAAUGAUUGUUAAUAAACAUCUGCAACAUCUGCUGUCCUCCUGUGAUCCCAUUCAUUUGAUUUGUUUUAUAGGUGUUUCUGCAGGCUUUAUGUAACAUUGUGGUUCUAAAAGCAAGCACAUCAGUGCAGGUGGUUUCAAAGAGUUCAUUCUCAGAAACAAGUGUUAAAAGGUCCUUAAAUUCAUUUAGAAAAAAUUAUAGUAAUUCAUUGAUGUGAA